rnacentral:misc_RNA from 1 species
GAUGAAGAACGUAGCGAAAUGCGAUACUUGGUGUGAAUUGCAGAAUCCCGUGAACCAUCGAGUCUUUGAACGCAAGUUGCGCCCGAAGCCACUAGGCCGAGGGCACGCCUGCCUGGGCGUCACACGCCGUUGCCCCCCCAUCUACUCCUUCGGGAUUGCGGGGGGGCGGAUGAUGGCCUCCCGUGCGCCUAGCCGCGCGGUUGGCAUAAAUACCAAGUCCUCGGCGACGCACGCCACGACAAUCGGUGGUUGCGAAACCUCGGUUGCCCGUCGUGUGCGUUCGUCGCGCAUCGAGGGCUCGAAAAAAUGCUCGGCUCCGGCUGGGCUUUCAACGCGACCCCAGGUCAGGCGGGGUUACCCGCUGAAUUUAAGCAUACAAUAAGCGGAGGA